UGGUUAGAAAGGUGAUUUGACUGGGUCAUCUACCACUACACUGAUUUCCAGAGACAAUUCUGUUGGUUUUACUGGCUAGGCAGGUGUGUUCUUUCUCCCUCUCUGCAGUCUGCGAAUGGCCCUCCCGAGGCCCAUUCUUUGGUCAUGGAUAUUCAUAGAAGGCAUCGAGUUUCCCGAUUGAAUUAAUCAUAGGGCUAGUGACCUCUCAGGACAGUUCUAUUCAAUGUAUGGUCCUGAGAAGGGCAAAAUAGCAACACCUGGGAGCUUGCUAGAAAGGCAGCUUCUCAGG
rnacentral:sRNA from 1 species